CUUAAUUCUCUCCGCUGGCUUAAAACCCCAGCCUCCAUACGCUACCUGUGGCUAAAAGAAUCAAGUGUUUAAAGAGCACAUUCCACUUUGUGUCUAUGACCUUGGGCCGUUCAAUGUAGAACUGGCAAUAAAACAACAAAGAUUCAUUCAUGCAACCAAGAGCCAAACGAUAGAGCUACGAUAAUGUGCUGGCAGUGAAUGGGACAUCAGCUUUGCAAACUGGCAGGCCGACUUUUCACACAAUACAAUGAGUCCUGUUUAGACCGUGAAACAAACCUCCUCUGACAGCCCGAGGCCACUGGGACGUGAACAGCGCUGUCUCUCACUACAUGGGAUCCUGUGUCCUCUCCACCUUCUCAAUAAUUCAAUGGAAAGAGGAGACGUCAGCUCUGGUAUAAUUACCGUGUGAGGGUGACAAGCUCCUCUGUCAAGGGCAAGAGCUUUACAGUAGUAAAGGGAGCGAAGAGACACAGAAAAACAGCGUGUGCCGUGACACUGUCGGUGACAAAAGCUUCAGCUACCGGGAGCUGAUGAAACUACAGAUUGCAGCCCAGAGGAAAGAUAUUCAGCAGCCGGGGAACUCGAGCGAAGACAGGUGAUUCACUUCUAAUGGAUGUUAAUGCUGUGGACACGACUGAGGAUAUUCCCGGUGGUGUUCACUUACAGCUAAUUG